rnacentral:rRNA from 1 species
GAUGAACGCUAGCGGCAGGCCUAAUACAUGCAAGUCGAACGGUGUCUUCGGACAUAGUGGCGCACGGGUGCGUAACACGUAUGCAACCUACCUUACAUUGGGGGAUAGCCUUUCGAAAGGGAGAUUAAUACCGCAUAAGACAGUAACUAGGCAUCUAGUAGCUGUUAAAGAUUUAUCGAUGUAAGCUGGGCAUGCGUCCAAUUAGCUAGUUGGUGAGGUAACGGCUCACCAAGGCAAUGAUUGGUAGGGGAACUGAGAGGUCAAUCCCCCACACUGGCACUGGGAUACGGGCCAGACUCCUGUGGGAGGCAGCAGUAGGGAAUAUUGGGCAAUGGACGCAAGUCUGACCCAGCCAUGCCGCGUGCAGGAUGAAGGCGUUAUGCGUUGUAAACUGCUUUUAUACAGGAAGAAACGACUCUUGCGAGAGGCAUUGACGGUACUGUAUGAAUAAGCACCGGCUAACUCCGUGCCAGCAGCCGCCGUAAUAC